rnacentral:tRNA from 1 species
GCCUGGGUGGCUCAGUCAGUUAAGCGUCUGACUUUGGCUCAGGUCAUGAUCUCACGGUCUGUGAGUUCGAGCCCCGCAUCAGGCU